AUUGAACGCUGGCGGAAUGCUUUACACAUGCAAGUCGAACGGCAGCACGAGGGCAACCUUGGUGGCGAGUGGCGAACGGGUGAGUAAUACAUCGGAACGUGCCCAGUCGUGGGGGAUAACGUAGCGAAAGCUACGCUAAUACCGCAUACGAUCUAUGGAUGAAAGCGGGGGACCGUAAGGCCUCGCGCGAUUGGAGCGGCCGAUGGCAGAUUAGGUAGUUGGUGGGGUAAAGGCUCACCAAGCCUGCGAUCUGUAGCUGGUCUGAGAGGACGACCAGCCACACUGGAACUGAGACACGGUCCAGACUCCUACGGGAGGCAGCAGUGGGGAAUUUUGGACAAUGGGCGCAGGCCUGAUCCAGCAAUGCCGCGUGAGUGAAGAAGGCC
rnacentral:rRNA from 1 species